GCUUCCGGUACCGAUUGGAGGAAACUUUUACCGCCUCCAAUAUGGCGUACAAGCUGGACACCGUAUUCGACGGGGGUUGCUUACAACCACCCUGACGACUCUUCUUACCCUCGUUGGCACCCCUCGAAGAACGGUGGAUAAAAACAAAGGACUACAAAUUUUGGCGACGGCGAUAUAAACGCGGACACACGUUCCCGAGAAAGUUUCUCUUCGUAUUCAUCGACGUUUUUCCUCGGGUGGCUUGUAUUUGUUCGUUAAUAUCCAUUCAUCUUCCGAACCACGCCUAGAAUACCUAUGUAUUCAUCGGAAUCGUCGCGUAAAAGAAUUCUCGAGCUUUCCCUUAGGAACUCCUUUGGUAUAAGAGACUGUCGGUGAUUCGGGAAGGAACGGAGAAUAUCGGAGGAAGGCGAAACGGUGGUAUCGGUGGGUGCUUGUGGUGGUGAGCUGACUCGACGAAGGGGAUUGUGGAGAGUACAAAAAGAACUGAGCGAAAUUAAGAACGACCAUGCUGCUGCUUCUGCUUCUCCUACUACUGGCGAAUGCACACACCGUCUCAUCUUGGAUAUCCACGAUCACGCAGCAGAUAUCCAAGGCGUUUCUAGAUCUCUUUUCCCUUUACUGGCUCACCUUUAUUUCGUCCUUCUCUUUUUGCUUGAGAAAAAGUUCUAACUCCACCGCUAAAAUAUGGAUUUUUUCCGAAUAUAUAUCUUUCUUCCCUCUCUUUCUCUCUCUUUCUCUCUCUUUCUU